rnacentral:rRNA from 1 species
CUCCGACUCCUCGCAUGGGGUGUCGGGAAAGAUUUCAUCGGUAUGGGAUGGGGUCGCGUCCUAUCAGGUAGUCGGCGGGGUAACGGCCCACCGAGCCUACGACGGGUAGCCGGCCUGAGAGGGCGACCGGCCACAUUGGGACUGAGAUACGGCCCAGACUCCUACGGGAGGCAGCAGUGGGGAGUAUUGCACAAUGGGCGCAAGCCUGAUGCAGCGACGCCGCGUGCGGGAUGACGGCCUUCGGGUUGUAAACCGCUUUUGAUCGGGAGCAAGCCUUCGGGUGAGUGUACCUUUCGAAUAAGCACCGACUAACUACGUGCCAGCAGCCGCGGUAAUACGUAGGGUGCAAGCGUUAUCCGGAAUUAUUGGGCGUAAAGGGCUCGUAGGCGGUUCGUCGCGUCCGGUGUGAAAGUCCAUCGCUUAACGGUGGAUCUGCGCCGGGUACGGGCGGG